UACGGAGGGGGCUAGCGUUGUUCGGAAUUACUGGGCGUAAAGCGCACGUAGGCGGCUUUGUAAGUUAGAGGUGAAAGCCCAGGGCUUAACCCUGGAAUUGCCUUUAAGACUGCAUCGCUAGAAUCGUGGAGAGGUGAGUGGAAUUCCGAGUGUAGAGGUGAAAUUCGUAGAUAUUCGGAAGAACACCAGUGGCGAAGGCGACUCACUGGACACGUAUUGACGCUGAGGAGCGAAAGCGUGGGGAGCAAACAGG
rnacentral:rRNA from 1 species